AACGCACCUUGCGCUCCUUGGUAUUCCGAGGAGCAUGCCUGUUUGAGUGUCAUUAAAUUCUCAACCUUUCUAGUUUUUAUUAACUAGUCAGGCUUGGAUGUGGGGGUUGCGGGCUUCUCAGAAGUCGGCUCUCCUUAAAUGCAUUAGUGAAACCUUUGGUUGACUAUCUCUGGUGUGAUAAUUAUCUACGCCGCUGAGAAUCUUCCUUUAUUAUGGGGUUUUGCUUCUAACCGUCUUCUCUGAAGACAACUUUUGACAUUUUGACCUCAAAUCAGGUAGGACUACCCGCUGAACUUAA
rnacentral:misc_RNA from 1 species